GGAGAGAUGCUAGAGUGGUUGAAUAGGCCGGUCUCGAAAACCGGUGUAGGGUUUACUCUACCGAGGGUUCGAAUCCCUCUCUCUCCG
rnacentral:tRNA from 1 species